GGUCAAUCUCUAAGACAUCCGGCACGGAGCAUCCUCUUCUUCCGAUGGUCAACGUAGAAUGAUGUUUCCCUUUAAGGUCUCUCAGAUUGGAAGGUUUCCUUUUCCCAACUGCUGUUUUAAGAUCUCUCCACAGGUGCUCUAUGGGAUUGAGAUCUGGACUCAUUGCUGAUGAACGACUCUUGCUUAUGCAUCUGCUCAAAAUUGUUUGUCUUUAUCUACCUCUUCCCACCAAUGAGACAAGAUCAUCCGCGCUCUAUGUUCUUUCUUUUGUGGUGGAUUUCCUUGCCCUGAGAGCGCUAGUGUCC